rnacentral:lncRNA from 12 species
GGAUUAUGUAACAAUACUUCUAUUGGAAAUGUAUCACUUCCACCGGAAAUUUAUGUCUUUCUCCUAAUGAAUUAAUAGGUUUGUGUGAUCUGAAAUUUUUUUUGUUACAGCUUGUUUUUUGAUAUCAGAAUAAUCGUUUUUUUUAAUGUCAAAAUAAUCUUAAUCUUACUUCCACAAGAUUUUAAAAGCCAUGCCACAUAUGAAGACAUUACAAGGGUGCCUCCCAGCUUUUGGAAGGGCUGGAGCCAUGAGGGAAACUGAAGCUUCAUUAGCUUCCUGGUAAAUCAGCCCUGGUCAAGGUUGAAGGCUGGGACUCAGAAGAACUAAACCAACACAAGCAUCCAGUGCACGGCCCUCCAGCCAGUCACCAGCACUUGCCCCAGCCAGUGACACCCAUGUUCGGAGCCACGAUUCAGGCUGCAGUGAAUUUCUGUGAGGGCGCUGGCUGCACCGAGGGCGAUCAAGGCGGGAGUGAUGUGUGCUGCUUCCCCCGACAGGCCAGCAAAUGGCUUCUGAGCCGACUCCUGACAGCCUGUUUCCAAAGAGGAAAAAGCUUCAAGGAAGAAAUAAAAACAACUCUUUGUUUGGAGAGCAAAACCUGAACUGAGUUAGAGGUGACAGGACCGUCCCCUUCUGCUCUGCCGAAGGAGGGAAGGAGGUUCUCGCACCGGAAGGCUCUUUCCUCCCGUUUCCACCUGCCCUCUCCUUCUUGCCUUGCCCAUGGCAACUUUAAAGGUCACCUCCCCAGGAAGCCUUCCCUGCUCUCCAUCUCUGCUGCGGUAGCCCCUCCUGGCGGCGAUGUCCCUGCCUACUGUUUUGCGCUCACCAGGGUGCAAGCACCUUGAGAACAGGGGCCGGCUCUUCUUGGCUCUUCUUUCUGCUGCAGCGUCAUCAGCGCCUGCAAGGAUACCCAGCACGUGGCAGGCAUUCGAAACAUAGAUUUUAUUAUCUUAAGUAUGCAUUUAAGGGGCGCCCGGGUGGCUCAGUAGGUUAAGCACCUGACUCUUGCUUUUUGGCUCUUGCUUUUGCUUCAUGAUGUCAGGGUUGUGGGAUUGAGCCCCAAAUCAGGCUCCUGGCUCCAUGCAGAGUCUGCUUCCAAUCCUCUCUCCCUUGCCCUCUGCCCCUCCUACUUGUAUUCUCUCUUAAGUGAGUACAUCUUUAAAAAAAUAAAUAAGUGUUUAUAAGACCUAGCA